rnacentral:rRNA from 1 species
UACGUAGGCAGCAAGCGUUGUUCGGAAUUACUGGGCGUAAAGAGUGUGUAGGCGGUGCUCUAAGUUCGGUGUGAAAUCUCCCGGCUUAACUGGGAGGGUGCGCCGGAAACUGGAGUGCUCGAGCGCGGGAGAGGAAAGCGGAAUUCCUGGUGUAGCGGUGAAAUGCGCAGAUAUCAGGAGGAACACCGGUGGCGAAGGCGGGUCUCUGGGCCAUUACUGACGCUGAGGAGCGAAAGCGUGGGGAGCGAACAGG